GACGAACGCUGGCGGCGUGCUUAACACAUGCAAGUCGAACGGAAAGGCCUGCUUUCCCUUGUGGAUUGCGGGUACUCGAGUGGCGAACGGGUGAGUAACACGUGAGUGAUCUGCCCCCAACUUGGGUAUAAGCCUGGGAAACUGGGUCUAAUUCCCGAUAGGACUGCAGGGUGGUGCCUGUGGUGGAAAACGAUUUUCUAGUGGUUGGGGAUGAGCUCGCGGCCUAUCAGCUUGUUGGUGGGGUAAUGGCCUACCAAGGCGGCGACGGGUAGCCGGCCUGAGAGGGUGGACGGCCGCAUUGGGACUGGGAUACGGCCCAGACUGCUACGGGAGGCAGCAGUGGGGAAUAUUGGACAAUGGGCGGAAGCCUGAUGCAGCGACGCCGCGUGGGGGAUGACGGCCUUCGGGUGGUAAACUCCUUUCGACCGCGAGGAAGCCACCUGGUUGGAAGGGUGGUGACGGUAGUGGUAGAAGAAGCACCGGCUAACUACGUG
rnacentral:rRNA from 1 species